rnacentral:rRNA from 1 species
GUGAGAGCGUACACAGGUGGCUGCAUAGGCUGUCGUCAGCUCGUGUCGUGAGAUGUUGGGUUAAGGUCCCGCAACGAGCGCAACCCCUCGCAUUCAGUUGCCAUCGGUAUGGCCGGGCACUCUGGAUGGACUGCCGGCGACAAGCCGGAGGAAGGUGGGGACGACGUCAAGUCAUCAUGGCCCUUAUGUCCAGGGCGACACACGUGCUACAAUGGCCGGCACAACGGGAAGCGAAGGGGCGACCCUGAGCGGAUCCCACAAAAGCCGGUCUCAGUUCGGAUUGCAGUCUGCAACUCGACUGCAUGAAGUUGGAAUCGCUAGUAAUCGUGGAUCAGCCAAGCCGCGGUGAAUACGUUCCCGGGCCUU